rnacentral:tRNA from 1 species
GCACUCUUAGCUCAGCUGGUUAGAGCGUCGCAUUCACAUUGCGAAGGUCACUGGUUCGAAUCCAGUAGAGUGCA